UUAUAAGAGACAGCAGCAGCCGCGGUAAUACGGGGGGUGCAAGCGUUAUUCGGAUUGAUUGGGUGUAAAGGGUGUGCAGACGGCUUAUUAAGUCACUUGUUAAAUUCUUCGGCCUAACUGAAGGUCUGCAAGUGAUACUGAUGAGCUAGAGGGUGGAAGAGAGAAGUGGAAUUCUCGGAGUAGCGGUAAAAUGCGUAGAUCUCGAGAGGAACACCAAUGGCGAAGGCAGCUUCUUGGUCCAUUCCUGACGUUCAUACACGAAAGCGUGGGGAGCAAACAGGAUUAGAUACCCCGGUAGUCCCUGUCUCUUAUAC
rnacentral:rRNA from 1 species